CUUGUAUUCCCUCCGUCUCAAAAUAUUUGUCAAAUAAAUAUAAAUAGAUGUAUUUAAAACUAAAAUACGUUUAGAUACAUCCAUCCAUUCGAUAAGUAUUUUCGGACGGAAGGAGUAUGAA
rfam:Triticum urartu cultivar G1812 contig631559, whole genome shotgun sequence.